CCUGUUCAAUCUUCUUCAUGUGCACAAUCUCCUUCAACAUGUUCUGGAUCCUUGCACUUUCUCUGAGGCUGCGGUUGUAGCGAGUGAAAGGAACGUUAACUGGGACUGACCACAUUCCUUCCAUCAAUGCUUCGAAUGAGGAAUCUGGCUUCAAGAAUGAUAUAAGUGCACCUCUGACUCUGCUGUGAUCUACACCACUCAGUUCCAGCAAGCUCCUGUCACCCAAGAUCAUUUUGAUGGACUGUGUUUGCUGGUUAGCAAUGGUGUCACCACCACUUGAGAACAUGAACUUGUUAGCAGCUUGUCCAUAGAUCAAAACUGUUGGUUUUCCAAAGAGGCUUAGUUUUGAAACAGGACCAUACUUCUUGAUUCUUUCUCCAACCCAGUUUUCUGCAGUGUUGGCACGCAUAGCGCGAAGAAGGCCAAGGCUUUGACCAAUAAUUGGUAUUCCUAGUGAACCUGGAGGGAUCCUUUUGGAUGGUUUGCUUCUUGUUCUAAGCAGAAGGAGUAUUGGAAUGAGUAAGAGGAAACUAACAAGAAAAACACUCAUGGCUCAGAUCUUCUUCUUCUUUUCAGGUUCUGAGAAAGUCCAUGAUUGAAGGGGGAGUCUGGUUAGUGGUUUAUGAUAUGGUGUGUUGACUUUAUAAUAGCAUGUUUAGUUUGAUGGUGAAAUGCUUUGAAAUUAUUUAUGGUUAGAAACAUUAAGUCUUAGCUUCCAA